rnacentral:rRNA from 1 species
GAUGAACGCUAGCGGCAGGCUUAAUACAUGCAAGUCGAGGGGCAGCACAGAUAGCAAUAUUGGGUGGCGACCGGCAAACGGGUGCGGAACACGUACACAACCUUCCUUUUAGUGUGGGAUAGCCCAGAGAAAUUUGGAUUAAUACCACAUAGUAUAUUGGAGUGGCAUCACUUUGAUAUUAAAGAUUUAUCGCUAAAAGAUGGGUGUGCGUAUGAUUAGGUAGUUGGUAGAGGUAACGGCUCACCAAGCCUUCGAUCAUUAACUGGUGUGAGGGCACGACCAGUCACACGGGCACUGAGACACGGGCCCGACUCCUACGGGAGGCAGCAGUAAGGAAUAUUGGUCAAUGGACGGAAGUCUGAACCAGCCAUGCCGCGUGAAGGAUGACGGCCCUCUGGGUUGUAAACUUCUUUUAUGUGGGACGAAAAAGGGCCAUUUUUGGUCAACUGACGGUACCAUAGGAAUAAGCACCGGCUAACUCCGUGCCAGCCGCCGCCGUAA